CUGAACAGCCGUUAAGCCCCCCGCCCGGGUCCGGUCCGCGCUGCCGAGGCCCAGGCUCCGCUCAAGUUUCCGCCCAGAAGCCGAGGCGACCGCGGGCCCCGAGCUCCAGGCUCGCCCGCUCGCCCGCUAUGUGGGGCCGUUUCCUGGCCCCGGAGGCUGGCGGCCGGGACAGCCCCAGCGGGGCCCGCAGCUUCCCUGCGGGCUCAGAUUAUUCGUCAGCAUGGUUACCUGGUAAUGAAUCAUUAUGGCAGGCCACAGCUGUUCCAUCUAACCAUCGAAAUAACCACCUCAGAAGACACAGCAUAACGUCUGAUAGUGGAGACACUGGCAUUGGCACUUCUUGUUCUGACAGCGUGGAAGAUCAUUCAACUUCAAGUGGCACGUUAUCUUUCAAGCCUAGUCGAUCAUUGGUCACUCUUCCCACUGCCCAUGUGAUGCCAUCUAACUCCAGUGCUUCCGUUUCCAAACAUAGGGAAUCUCUAACACCAGAUGGCUCUAAAUGGAGUACUAGCCUCAUGCAGACAUUGGGAGACCACAGCAGAGGGGAGCGGGACUCCUCCCUAGACAUGAAGGACUUCAGGCCCCUGAGGAAAUGGUCAUCUUUGUCCAAACUUACUGCCCCAGAUACCCGCAACCACAGUGGCAUUGCAUACCCGCAAGAGCUGAGGAAUAGCUUGGAGAUGACAGGGAAGGGCAAGCCUUUUAUGUCCCACUUACGG
rnacentral:lncRNA from 1 species